rnacentral:lncRNA from 1 species
AAUAUUUAGGUAUACAUCAAAUAGUUGGAAAAUAUUUAUGAACCCGACCUAGACAUAUUGGAAUAACUAAUGAUUAUUUUACAUACUGUCAAAGUAUAUUUACAAUUACCAAAACCCCAGACAAAUACUUACAGCGAAAUCACCAAAAAACUACACAAAAUCAAUUCGUGCAAAAAAUAAACAACUACCUGAACCAAUUCAUA